UAGGGGUUUGAAAAGCUACCUCUUUCUAAAACCAACUGUUGUCCAGUGCGUUUGGAUAGCACCAUCGCCCAGCGAUAACCAUCCAGACCUGCAUACGGCACACAGAAUGCAGGCUGUGUUUCCAAGGCUUCUGUGAUGGAGUACUGGACAGGGAACCAAAGGCAGCCGUCUCUGUACUCUAAAUAUGGGACUGUUCCAGGGCAGAACCUGUCACACGUGUACCGAGAGAAGCAGCGCACGCCACACUCCCAGCAGCCCUUGUACGAGAGAGAUCUCAGCCGUGAGAUGAACUGGUGGACAGCGCCCGGCUCUCGAACUGGCUGGGUUCUGCGGGAUCACGCCAACAGGACAGGCGUACAGCCGUCCGACUUCCCCUUUGCAUUAGACAGCCAGCCCCGCUCACAAGGCUUCAGCAAUCAGCAGGGACGCGAGAGAGCAGAGAGGGAGUGGGCGCGGGCGGAAAUGGAGAGGGCACACAAAGAGCAGGAGAGGGAAAGGAGGGUGCAAAGGGAGGGGUGGGGGAGGAGGUGGGAGCCGUGUAGCCCCUUUCGCUACAGGAGAGACUGCAAGAGGAGCAUGAGUGACAGCAGCCACCGUGAACUGGAGGCCUGGGCUUCCCGCUACUGUCACUCGUUGCCCAGGAAGAGGCGCAUGGAGGCCGAAAUGUGGGGGGCUCAGGGGUUCCAAAGGGUGCAGGCGCAGGAGAGAGAAAGGCUCACACAGUGGGUGGGUAGAGAUGGCAGUGCGGACCUCCAGGGCACAUACCCUCCACCAACAUGGAAUUCUCCCAUGAGAGGGUGGAGACAAGAGGAAGAAAGGCAACCAGCAGUUCCAUUUAGACCUCCUCAGUCCCCUUUCCUCAAGAAGUCGGGGGAGAAGAAUCGCAAGGAGAAUGAACUCAGUUACCUGCAAAGGGUGUCAAGCCUACCCCCAUCAUACAAUCCCCCUCCACCCUACAGUGCUCCCCAUUACUCUCUGCUUGAAACACUGCAGCCUCAUAAAUAUGCUAUGAAAGACACCGUGAGUUACAUCAAACCAAA